CCUACGGGCGGCAGCAGUAGGGAAUAUUGCUCAAUGGGGGAAACCCUGAAGCAGCAACGCCGCGUGGAGGAUGAAGGUUUUCGGAUUGUAAACUCCUUUUGUUAGAGAAGAUAAUGACGGUAUCUAACGAAUAAGCACCGGCUAACUCCGUGCCAGCAGCCGCGGUAAUAAGGCGGGUGCAAACGUUACUCGGAAUCACUGGGCGUAAAGAGCGCGUAGGCGGGUUAGCAAGUCAGGUGUGAAAUCCUAGGGCUUAACCAUAGAAUUGCAUUUGAAACUGGUAUUCUUGAGUAGGGGAGAGGUAGGUGGAAUGCGUGGUGUAGGGGUAAAAUCCGUAGAGAUCGAGAGGAAUACUCAUUGCGAAGGCGACCUGCUGGAACAUAACUGACGCUGAUGCGCGAAAGCGUGGGGAGCGAACAGGAUUAGAUACCCGGGUAGUC
rnacentral:rRNA from 1 species